GGUUUCUUGGUGUAGUUGGUUAUCACGUCUGCUUAACACGCAGACGGUCGCCAGUUCGAGUCUGGCAGAAAUCA
rnacentral:tRNA from 1 species